AUGGACCAACGUGAAUUACUUGCCGGCCUCUGCAACUACAUCAUGUCGGUGGAUGAUGUCGGGUGUUUGGAGAAGGAAUGGGUCCGGAGCUCGACACCCGAUCCAAUGGGCUUAACUCUUAAGAAACUUCAGUGCAUACUUAACAUGGAGCAGGCUAAGGACAAUGAUUGCUUCAACACCGCCGUGAGUAUACUGUCCAUGAUGCUAGAGUCAACAAGAGGUCAGAAAUUUUGCGAGAAGGAAACUAUCCAAACGUUGGCAACAUUAUUUGAUAGCUGGCAUGGGAUGGACAACAACAUCUCAUCGUGCAACAUGGAAUAUGUCUGGCUAUUUUGUUUUUAUUUUAUGCUCUAG
rnacentral:rRNA from 1 species